rnacentral:rRNA from 1 species
CAGUAGCCGCGGUAAUACGAAGGGGGCUAGCGUUAAUCGGAAUUACUGGGCGUAAAGCGUGCGUAGGCGGUUCGUUAAGUCUGUUGUGAAAGCCCCGGGCUCAACCUGGGAAUGGCAAUGGAUACUGGCGAGCUAGAGUGUGUCAGAGGAUGGUGGAAUUCCCGGUGUAGCGGUGAAAUGCGUAGAGAUCGGGAGGAACAUCAGUGGCGAAGGCGGCCGUCUGGGACAACACUGACGCUGAGGCACGAAAGCGUGGGGAGCAAACAGGAUUAGAUACCCCCGUAGUCCCUGUCUCUUAUAC